rnacentral:rRNA from 1 species
AGUGAACGCUGGCGGUAUGCCUAACACAUGCAAGUCGAACGGCAGCACAGUAAGAGCUUGCUCUUACGGGUGGCGAGUGGCGGACGGGUGAGGAAUACAUCGGAAUCUACUUUUUCGUGGGGGAUAACGUAGGGAAACUUACGCUAAUACCGCAUACGACCUACGGGUGAAAGCAGGGGAUCUUCGGACCUUGCGCGAUUGAAUGAGCCGAUGUCGGAUUAGCUAGUUGGCGGGGUAAAGGCCCACCAAGGCGACGAUCCGUAGCUGGUCUGAGAGGAUGAUCAGCCACACUGGAACUGAGACACGGUCCAGACUCCUACGGGAGGAAGCAGUGGGGAAUAUUGGACAAUGGACGCAAGCCUGAUCCAGCCAUACCGCGUGGGUGAAGAAGGCCUUCGGGUUGUAAAGCCCUUUUGUUGGGAAAGAAAAGCAGCAGGUUAAUACCCCGCUGUUCUGACGGUACCCAAAGAAUAAGCACCGGCUAACUUCGUG